CUCGGUGGAGAUUAAUGAUGUCUCCCCAAGGGAGUUCGAGGUCUCGUGAGAAGAAGGUAGUCUCGUGAGAACUGUUUCCUAUGAAAGAGCUCAUCCAAGAGACUCAGGUUCUCGCCAUACUGCUGGGUGGCUUCUGUGCCUUGAUCGGUUGUGCUGUGCUUGAGCUUUCCAGUCACCAGAAUGUUAUACUGCAAAUGUCAAAUGGACCCACCCUUCAAGGUUGUAUCCAAUGCAUAUUUGUUGAAAAAAUAAAUGAAAAAGUAAGAAAGGAGAAGUAUAAUGAACGGGAUCCACUUGGAGGGUGAAAGACUAAAAGGAGAAUACAGUGCAGAGUUCAAGACUUCCUGGCCUGGAGGGCAUCUGAUUGUAAUCUGGAAAUAGUAGGCUAACCAAACUAACUGAACGAGUGGUCUUUCCCACCUCCAAGAUAAAUAAAUUAGCACCUAGAAUAUACGAAUAGCGGUAACUAAUAAAAAUAUAUUUUAAAGGGGUUAUAAAGACAAAUUUAGAUAAUACAUGCAAAGACUGCAUAGUGCCGAGACAUAGCAGAUGCUGAUCAAUGAUGGCUCCUUUCCCUCAUUAGUUUGUAAUUUGUUCAACUUAUUAAAAAACAAACAAAACCUUACUAGCAACCAGAUAUUGAGUUGAAUAUCUGGAUAGAUAUUGGUGGGUAA